UCAGCAGACUAAAUAUUGCUGAUCGAUAUUGAGAUGUGGGUAGGAGUUUAACACAUGAAUGAGGACGGAAAAGAUGGCCCAUGCAAUAAGCAAAAUAGGAUCCAGGCAUGUGCAAGGGUACAGGGACGGAGAACAUAGGCUCAACGUCAUUACUCUUAGGGAAAUGCAAAUCACACCACAAUCCUACCAGCUAACCACCCCCCAGGUUGUUUACUUUCAAGAGGAAGACAAAAAUUGCUGCUGUUAAAGAUGUGGAGAAACUGCAAGCCUUAUACACUGCUGACGGGAAUGUAAAAUGGUGUCUCGUGUGUUCUGGCGGUGGGAAAGGUGGCCCCUCAGGGAACCUGGCUCCCACGUCCCUGUGCCUCAAGGGAGAACAGAACCUGUGACGCCUUCACUUGCCUCCCUCCAUGACCCGUUCUGUGAAACUUCCCCUGCCCCCAGCGCCUAGGCCAAGGAGAAUUCCCAGCCCUGUUGCGAAUCCUUUCUUGGUUCCCGCGUGAGAUUGAGCGGGGUGCCACUGAGUGAGCUCCAGAUCGACGCUGAGCCUCGGGGGAUGUAUUGGCGCUUCCUGCUCUCCGUAGCAAGUCGUCAUCCAGCAGAACCUCGGGACGACA
rnacentral:lncRNA from 1 species